AGAGUUUGAUCCUGGCUCAGAUUGAACGCUGGCGGCAGGCCUAACACAUGCAAGUCGAGCGGUAACAGGGGUAGCUUGCUACCCGCUGACGAGCGGCGGACGGGUGAGUAAUGCAUAGGAAUUUACCCGAUAGAGGGGGAUAACCUGGGGAAACCCAGGCUAAUACCGCAUACGUCCUACGGGAGAAAGGGGGCUUUGGCUCCCGCUAUCGGAUGAGCCUAUGCCGGAUUAGCUGGUUGGUGAGGUAAUGGCUCACCAAGGCGACGAUCCGUAGCUGGUCUGAGAGGAUGAUCAGCCACAUCGGGACUGAGACACGGCCCGAACUCCUACGGGAGGCAGCAGUGGGGAAUAUUGGACAAUGGGCGCAAGCCUGAUCCAGCCAUGCCGCGUGUGUGAAGAAGGCCCUCGGGUUGUAAAGCACUUUCAGCGAGGAAGAACGCCUGGCGGUUAAUACCCGCCAGGAAAGACAUCACUCGCAGAAGAAGCACCGGCUAACUCCGUGCCAGCAGCCGCGGUAAUACGGAGGGUGCAAGCGUUAAUCGGAAUUACUGGGCGUAAAGCGCGCGUAGGUGGCUUGAUAAGCCGGUUGUGAAAGCCCCGGGCUCAACCUGGGAACGGCAUCCGGAACUGUCAGGCUAGAGUGCAGGAGAGGAAGGUAGAAUUCCCGGUGUAGCGGUGAAAUGCGUAAAGAUCGGGAGGGAUACCAGUGGCGAAGGCGGCCUUCUGGACUGACACUGACACUGAGGUGCGAAAGCGUGGGUAGCAAACAGGAUUAAAUACCCUGGUAGUCCACGCCGUAAACGAUGUCNACAACCCGUUGGGUGCCUA
rnacentral:rRNA from 1 species